CCGCUGCGUCCAUAUGCAUAUCCGUCUUUCCCACACGCAUAUAUAAAUUGUGCAGGUUGCGAAGGAUGCUUUCCUUCCUUCCCUCCCUGAUGAGCGAUACUUCGAUAUCGCUAGGAGAUUUAAACACAUCAUGUAUUACUCCGUACGUACGUGUGAAGAUGGAUAGCGACGAUGCAUUGGCUCGUGCAUCAAUUAGGCUCCAUCGAGUUUGAUCGUUAAGUAAGUUCAAUUUAUUGUUUCAUUUGCACGGCACAUGCUUGUUUGUUAGAUGUGUGAUACGUCUGAUCAUAUAUAUUUCAUAUGUUUCUUAAUUUUUUUACGACGUUGAUGAGUUAUGAAUUAUAACAAUAGAUCAUAUAGAAAGUAUGUAUGUGUGUGCACUUUUAUAUGAACCACGUGUAGUUAAUUAUAUAUAGCUUUGUUUUGGGGUGCGAAAAAUCGAGAUAUACUGCGGAUUUAGCAGCCAGCUAGGAGCUAGGGGAGAAAUUGUCGUGAUGAAGUAUUUGUUUUUCACCUGGGGUAUGUUUUAUUUGCUCUUAAUUUGUCAGGAAAUCUAAAUUACUUGUCAUUUACGCCGGUGUGAAGGGUUCUAAUUUGCAUGUUUGUCAAGCUGGUGGAAAUUUAAACUUAGUAGUAGUAUAAUUUAUGCCGCUAUAUACCAUGGAAGGUUCUUGUGAUGUACAUGCUUGUCAAGCUGUCAAUGAUACUGCCAUUUUUUUUUCCUGAUUUGCAUGUUGUAUUGUUUUGAUGUUCUUCUUUUCCUUGAUUUUCAGCGCGGCACGGCGCCUUGUAUAUAUGUAUGUGCUAAGUGUUAACACUCGAUCUGAUUUUUUUUUUUGCAGGAUAAAUGUCAUAUUAACCAGCUGUAUGCACUUCACAGUGCAGAGAAAGCGACAUGCAUGCAAGAUCUUCUCAUUGUCUCAAAGCAUAUUCGAUCGUACACUACUUCUUCACUUACUUUUUAAUAUAUAGUAACAAAUUAACUAACAAUCGACUAUCCUCUUUAUUUUUUUCAGACAUGUAUCCGCACGCAUUAUUAACGUGGGAUGUGGUUCAAAACCGGAUGCCGCCGCUACACAAGACGGUCGACCAUAUAUAUCAUCUUUAGGCCAAACAUAUAUUAUAUGUGUCCUAGCAAAAACACAUUUUUCUUUUUUGCAAAUUACAAGCUAGCAUGCAUAUGUAACAAAUUCGUUUUCUUAAUAGAUAAAAUUCAUUCGCAUUUGUUUUUCCCAUGUCAUCGUCAUUAAGAUUACAAAACAUUUUAGUGAAUAAAAAAAGGAACCGCUCCUGCCUGCAUGUAUCGUGUAUUCGUGUUGUUAAUUUGUAGUACUGUACUAUAUAAUGCUCU
rnacentral:lncRNA from 1 species